rnacentral:rRNA from 1 species
UGGGGAAUAUUGCACAAUGGGCGCAAGCCUGAUGCAGCCAUGCCGCGUGUGUGAAGAAGGCCUUCGGGUUGUAAAGCACUUUCAGCGGGGAGGAAGGCGAUAAGGUUAAUAACCUCAUCGAUUGACGUUACCCGCAGAAGAAGCACCGGCUAACUCCGUGCCAGCAGCCGCGGUAAUACGGAGGGUGCAAGCGUUAAUCGGAAUUACUGGGCGUAAAGCGCACGCAGGCGGUCUGUCAAGUCGGAUGUGAAAUCCCCGGGCUCAACCUGGGAACUGCAUUCGAAACUGGCAGGCUAGAGUCGUGUAGAGGAGGGUAGAAUUCCAGGUGUAGCGGUGAAAUGCGUAGAGAUCUGGAGGAAUACCGGUGGCGAAGGCGGCCCCCUGGACAAAGACUGACGCUCAGGUGCGAAAGCGUGGGGAGCAAACAGG